rfam:Ophiostoma piceae TAMH 11346 chromosome Tnknown scf24, whole genome shotgun sequence.
ACGUACGGCCAUAGAUACUGGAAUGCACGGGAUCCCGUCCGCUCUCCCCUAGUUAAACCAGUAAUCGGCGGAUUAGUAGUUGGGUCGGUGACGACCAGCGAAUACCCGCUGCUGUACGUU